AAGGAGUUAGGUUAAUAAGACCAUUAGCCUUCAAAGCUGAUAGUGGAAAUAUUUUUUCCAGGCCUUA
rnacentral:tRNA from 1 species